rnacentral:rRNA from 1 species
AUUGAACGCUGGCGGCAGGCCUAACACAUGCAAGUCGAACGAGCGGCGGACGGGUGAGUAAUUUCUGGGAAACUGCCCGCUAGAGGGGGAUAACUACUGGAAACGCUAGCUAAUACCGCAUACCAUCGGAUGUGCCCACAUGGGAUUCUCUUGUAGGUGCGGUAACGGCUCACCUAGGCGACGAUCCCUAGCUGGUCUGAGAGGAUGACCAGCAACACUGGAACUGAGACACGGUCCAGACUCCUACGGGAGGCAGCAGUGGGGAAUAUUGCACAAUGGGCGCAAGCCUGAUGCAGCCAUGCCGCGUGUAUGAAGAAGGCCUUCGGGUUGUAAAGUACUUUCAGCGGGGAGGCGUUACCCGCAGAAGAAGCACCGGCUAACUCCGUGCCAGCAGCCGCGGUAAUAC